AAACCAUGGUGAGGGCAUUGAGCUUGGUAGCCCUUGAAUCUCUCCCAGGCUUCGCUGAAUCCUUCCAAGUCCUUCUGUUGAAAGCUGGAGAUCUCAUUUCUCAGCUU
rnacentral:snoRNA from 1 species